rnacentral:rRNA from 1 species
GCUGGAGGAUGCUGCUAUUUGGUUUGGAUUUAGGCAUGCAAGUUGUUUGCUUUAGCAUUUAUGUUAAGGUGAAGGCGAACUGCUCAGUAACACGUAGUUAAUCUAACCUUGAGCGAGGGAUAAGCACGGGAAACUGUGUCUAAUACCUCAUAGAAGUUUGGUUCUGGAAUGAUCUUACUUUGAAACAUCCGGCUCAAGGAUGAGACUGCGCCUGAUUAGCUUGUUGGUGGGGUAACUGCCUACCAAGGCGAUGAUCAGUAGGGGCUCUUAGCGGAGUGGCCCCGAGAAGGAAUCUGAGACACUAUUCCUAGCUCUACGGAGUGCAGCAGCUGCGAAUUUUUUACAAUGCACGAAAGUGUGAUAAAGCGAGCCAAAGUGCUUAUCGUACAGAUAAGCUUUUCUUUAGCGUAAAAACCUAGAGGAAUAAGGACUGGGAAAGACCGGUGCCAGCCGCCGCGGUAAUACCGGCAGUUCGAGUGGCAUCCAUUUUUAUUGGGUCUAAAACAUCCGUAGCUUGUUAUUUAAGUCUCUUGUGAAAUCUAAUGUCUCAAGCAUUUGGCUUGCAGGAGAUACUGAAUAACUAGAGACCGGUAGGCGUAAGGAGUACGGGGAAGGUAGUGGUAAAAUACGUUAAUCUUCCUUGGACUAACAAUUUAGCGAAGGCACCUUACGAGGACGGAUCUGACAGUGAGGGAUGAAGGCCAGGGGCGCAAAACGGAUUAGAUACCCGUGUAGUCCUGGCAGUAAACACUGUUCACUAAACAUCGGGCCCUCUUCGGGAGGAUUCGGUGCUGAAGCGAAGGCGAAGAGUGAACUACCUGGGAAGUAUAGUCGCAAGGUCGAAACUUAAAGGAAUUGGCGGGGAGACAUACAACGAGUGACGCGUGCGGUUCAAUUAGAUUCUACACCGUGAACCUCACCAGGAGCGACAGCAGGAUGAAGGUCAGUCUAAAGGGCUUACCUGACACGCUGAGCGGAGAUGCAUGGCCGACGUCAGCCUGUGUCGUGAGAUGACCUGUUAAAUCAGGUAACAGGCGAGACCCGUGUCAAUAAUUACUACAGAAAUGGGUACAUUAUUGAGACUGCUCUGGUAACAGAGAGGAAGGUGCGGGCUACGUUAGGUGAGUACGUCCCUAAUCCCCUGGACUACACGCGCGCGGCAAUGGUACAUUCAAUGAGAUGCGACUCCGAGAGGAGAAGCUAAUCCCCUAAAGUGUAUCUCAGUCCAGAUCGAGGGUUGCAACCCACCCUCGUGACGUUGGAAUUCGUAGUAAUCGGAUUUUAGCACAGUCCGGUGAAUAAGUCCCUGUCUCUUGCACACACCGCCCGUCAAACCAACCGAGUUGUGUAGGGGUGAAGUUCGUCAGAGAAGAACCUUUGCACGACAAGGUAGGUUAAGUCGACACAAGGUA